rnacentral:rRNA from 1 species
UACGUAGGGGGCAAGCGUUGUCCGGAAUCAUUGGGCGUAAAGAGCGCGUAGGCGGUCCAGUAAGUCCGCUCUGAAAGUCCGGGGCUCAACCCCGGGAGGCGGGCGGAUACUGCUGGGCUAGAGUCCGGAAGAGGCGAGUGGAAUUCCUGGUGUAGCGGUGAAAUGCGCAGAUAUCAGGAGGAACACCAGUGGCGAAGGCGGGUCUCUGGG